UCAAACUCCUGACCUCAUGAUCCGCCUGCCU
rnacentral:piRNA from 1 species